GGGCACCAGAGGAGUGAUUCAAAUGAUCCGGGGCUGGAGGGAGCCAGCUCACCCCCCCAACCAGCUCACCCCCCAACCCUGGCCAGUCUGGAUGCUGGGGUUCAAACGCCCCAGGCCCACCCUCCGGAUGCCAUCAACGUCUCUCCCUCGCUGGUGGUGGGAAGCAGGACUCCUGGUAACAGUUGUUAGCUUGUCACUGCAGCUCCGGGGAAAGACAGCAAAUGCCACGUCAGCCACGGUCACCCCCAGCCUCUGGCCAAUGUGUGAGGACGGCUGGGCCCCUCCAGGAGCAAACGCUUCCUCCGGGUCAAUCAAGGAGGGAAAGAGGCUCAGCGGGCAGUGGGAUAUGUGUGCAUCAGACGGGCUGGGGCCAACCCAGCCUCACCAUUCACUUGAACCUCCUCUUGGAGCCUCCGUUUCCUAGCCUGAGAAACGGGGACACUGACAUCUCCUCUCGGCACCGGCACCAUCUGCUGCCAUUUGCAGAGCACGUGCCACCGCCAAGGAUGGAGUUGACUCCAGUUCUCACAACUCUGGAGAAGUGGCCUCCACUCUCCCCUCUCUGCAAACAAGAAACCGGAGCCCAGAAAGAUAGACUUGCCCAGUGGCAACACUGAGAUCUGGACCAAGUCCCCGUGAUUCCGAAGCUGUCCUCUUUCCACUCGAAAGCACAGGUGAUGGCCGUGAGGUAGGAAUCUUGGCUCCAUUUCACAGAUGAAGACACUGAGGCUCAGUCCCUGCAGAAAGAAGGAGUGAGUUCUGCCUGAAGCCCUCAUCUUUCGAUUCCAUGUCCUCUUACUUCCUCUCAGACUGAGGAGGGGCUGCCCGCACCCAUGGGGCAACUCUUCUCGGCACUAUCAAGAAAAACUGUGGACGCAGAGCCAGGGCCUGAAUCUAUCUCCAGGUGCAAAGACAGAGAUCUAGGAGUCCCCAGUGGCCCCUGGUGACACGGGGCAGCUGUCCCUAUCAGUGGCCUCGCUCUCUGAUCAGAGCUGUCGUCACUAAGCUGGGCAGCUCUGGGUCCUUGCUGUGCUGGCAGAAUCCGCGCCACCCCCCCACCCUUCUCUGACCAUCCCAGGUUGGGGCCCCAGCCAAGCCCUCACCAGCCCUGCUAAUAAAGUUACCUUCUGUGCGUGGGGCAGAAGGUCAGGAAAAAC
ensembl:lncRNA